rnacentral:lncRNA from 1 species
AGCCCUGCCAAAAAGUAUUAAAGCACAUUAGCAGCAUCUGCAUUAUCUACAGUAAAUUUUGAGUAUUAAACAAUGGGCAAAACUUGUAAAACUGCCGACAUCUAUGGCUACCAUGGAAGUAAAUGGGAGGGGACAGCGUGGGAAUGAGAAUAAGCAAUCAUUCAUGUGCAGGGUGUAUGCUUCAAGUCUUUGGAUUAAAGACUAGUACCUCAAGAAGCUGCUGUUGUGGAAUUGCUGGGAAACCUUCUUUACAUCUCACUAGGGACCCCAAAAGCCCUAACCAAGGGUCUAAAGCCACUCUGAGAUGCUGUGAAGCAGCUUCCCCAGCUGUCCUAAUGCUGCCAACCUUCAGCGCAGUUCCUCAGCUGUGUGUCCCCAAGCAUAAAAGUUGUCGUGCUACUACUUUAUAACUGCAGUGUUUCUGCUCUUAUGCAUUGUAAUGUAAAUGCCUGCUAGUCAGGAUAUCUGAUAAGCGGCCACCAAAGGGGUCUCCCAAACAGAAGCCAUCGGAGGGAAAAGGAGGAAUGCACAAGGCAGUCUGUGGUGUAGCCUCUUUAGCAGUUGAGGGUCAGUAGAAGCCACUAACAUACCAGAAGGGCUUUGAGCGCCGCUGAGCGGCUUCUUUGUACAAAACAGUAACAGGACUUCACGCCUAGGGAACUUUGUCAACAAUAAAAUGACUUAGAUUGAUUUGACAUUGAAUAUAGCAGAAUUGUUUUUAAAAACUAACAAGUACAUGUGGUGACAACAGAAAAUUAUGAGGCAGAGAACACACACAGUCAAGACUUUAGUAUAGUUUCAACAAUGUUAUCCCACAGUGUUGGAAGAUGCCUUUUUUAAUGGUUCUUUUCAGUUGACUGUGUGAUGGAGUUCCACUAGGCCAAGUUAAAAGUGGACCCCACAUGGUUACAUUGUACAAGCUGUGAAGGUUUUAAACCUGUGACAAGUGACAGAAGGGAAUAUCUACUCGUUGCAAGAAAAUCCUCACUUAUGAUCCAGAGUGCUACAAGCACUUAAAACCCAUGUACCUCUCCUGGACUUUCUCAGCCCGCCCACUCUCUGUCAGCAGCUGCCAUAUGUUCUUAGGCUGGUCACUCUGUAGCUGAAAUAUAUUUAUGGAGGGGCUCAGUUGCAGUACCAUGACAGGCAAAUUUCUUGUUAAACACCUUCAUUCGUUAUUUUGUUUUUGUUUUGUUUGUGAUCAUCAGCAAUUCCUUGGUCAGGAAUAAGAAUCUUCCUGCUGUUCCUCUGUUGAAGUCUUACAUGGAUCUAAUCCUCUGUGCCAGCUGGAAACAGGUCAUCACCCUUCCUGCAUCAGCAAAGAGGCCAAAAGAGGAUCUUCUGGAUAGUGUGCGUACCAUAAGAUUCCUUUUCCUCGCUUCAAGGGCGAGGCAGCUGAGUCCUAAGUGACCAGGGCCUAUCACUCACUUGCUUAUUGUUUAUAAGUCACUUAUUCAUUGAAUGACUGUAACAAGUUAAGGCUUUUUCUCUUUACCUGCUGGAGAUGCCUACAUAGUUAGCUUUCUGUACUAUAUGAUUU